UGUGACGAGUUGAUCCUGGCUCAGAACGAACGCUGGCGGCAGGCUUAACACAUGCAAGUCGAGCGCCCCGCAAGGGGAGCGGCAGACGGGUGAGUAACGCGUGGGAAUCUACCCAUCCCUACGGAACAACUCCGGGAAACUGGAGCUAAUACCGUAUACGCCCUUUGGGGGAAAGAUUUAUCGGGGAUGGAUGAGCCCGCGUUGGAUUAGCUAGUUGGUGGGGUAAUGGCCUACCAAGGCAACGAUCCAUAGCUGGUCUGAGAGGAUGAUCAGCCACACUGGGACUGAGACACGGCCCAGACUCCUACGGGAGGCAGCAGUGGGGAAUAUUGGACAAUGGGCGCAAGCCUGAUCCAGCCAUGCCGCGUGAGUGAUGACGGCCCUAGGGUUGUAAAGCUCUUUCACCGGUGAAGAUAAUGACGGUAACCGGAGAAGAAGCCCCGGCUAACUUCGUG
rnacentral:rRNA from 1 species